rnacentral:rRNA from 1 species
CCCGGCGACCGGCGCACGGGUGAGUAACGCGUAUGCAACUUACCUAUCAGAGGGGGAUAACCCGGCGAAAGUCGGACUAAUACCGCAUGAAGCAGGGGCCCCGCAUGGGGAUAUUUGCUAAAAAUUCAUCGCUGAUAGAUAGGCAUGCGUUCCAUUAGGCAGUUGGCGGGGUAACGGCCCACCAAACCGACGAUGGAUAGGGGUUCUGAGAGGAAGGUCCCCCACAUUGGUACUGAGACACGGACCAA